AGUAUUUGCAGCUUUUGUAGAGCGUAGGAAGAUCUUUAAUCAAGCUUAAAGCAUUGAAACAUUCCACUUACGAAAACCAACGUAUUUGUAUUAAAACGAAUAGUUAGUUAUUGUUUAGGUAUAUUUCCAGGGGCAUCUAUGUAAUAUUUUAUCUCGUCUGGUCGCAAACGAUCAUUAGCGCGUGUAAAUCACCCUGAAGGUAAAGAGUGCACUCGAACCUGAGGAUGUGUACUUUUUUAUAUAUAAAUACAUAUUAUAUUAUACGCAUUAAACGUACUUAUCAUCGUCACAUUUUGAAAAUAUACAGCGUAAAAAUAAGUGUAAUUAUCUUCUUUCUCUCCUUCUGCGCAUGCAUCUAUAACCUACUCAAAGUUUUUACCUUGCAUGCCUCUAUAACUCCCGGUCUUGGACUAAUAUCUUCUAGAGUUUUAAAGUACACUAUUAAAUCUUGCCACCUCUCAUGUAGUUACGUGAUUUGCUUCGGCGUCUGUUUAUUUAUGGUUUCCAUUCGAAGUCUUUCUGCAUUAGAAGUAAUCAACUCAUAUUAACCUAACCUAUCCUAACCUAACCUAACCUAACCAAACCUAAACUCUAUUUUUAUGACUUCAUCUUGACUGAAUUGCUUGGAAUUGUAUGUAACUAUUACUAUAGCUGGUGGCCUGGUGUAAAAUCCAUUUUUUUCCUGUAGUUUUUAUUGAACUUCCGUAUUCAUUAAUUUGUCUUAAUAUUUUACUCAGCACGACUGACAACAACGAUAAAUUACGCUUU